CCUACGGGUGGCAGCAGUGAGGAAUAUUGGUCAAUGGGCGCGAGCCUGAACCAGCCAAGUCGCGUGAGGGAAGACGGCCCUACGGGUUGUAAACCUCUUUUGCCGGGGAGCAACGGGCGCCACGUGUGGCGCCACUGAGAGUACCCGGAGAAAAAGCAACGGCUAACUCCGUGACAGCAGCCGCGGUAAGACGGGGGAUGCGAGCGUUAUCCGGAUUUAUUGGGUUAAAAGGGUGCGUGGGCGGAGCGUUAAGUCAGUGGUCAAAUUGAGGGCCCCAACCCCUUCCCGCCAUUGAAACUGGCGCUCUUGAGUGGAAGAGAUGUAUGCGGAAUGCGUGGUGUAGCGGUGAAAUGCAUAGAUAUCACGCAGAACCCCGAUUGCGAAGGCAGCAUGCCGGCUUCCUACUGACGCUGAAGCACGAAAGCGUGGGGAUCGAACAGGAUUAGAUACCCUUGUAGUC
rnacentral:rRNA from 1 species